CUUGAACGCUGGCGGCAGGCCUAACACAUGCAAGUCGAGCGAGCGGCGGACGGGAGAGAAAUGUAGGGGGAUUCGCCCGAUAGAGGGGGAUAACUACUGGAAACGGGGUCUAAUACCGCAUACUAUAGGAUGACCCCAUAUGGGAGUCGCUAGUAGGUGGGGUAAAGGCUCACCUAGGCGACGAUCUCUAGCUGGUCUGAGAGGAUGAUCAGCCACACUGGGACUGAGACACGGCCCAGACUCCUACGGGAGGCAGCAGUGGGGAAUAUUGCACAAUGGGCGCAAGCCUGAUGCAGCCAUGCCGCGUGUAUGAAGAAGGCCUUAGGGUUGUAAAGUACUUUCAGCGGGGAGGCGUUACCCGCAGAAGAAGCACCGGCUAACUCCGUGCCAGCAGCCGCGGUAAUAC
rnacentral:rRNA from 1 species